rnacentral:lncRNA from 1 species
CGGCGAGCCGGCGCCGCAGCGGCCCUACGGCCAGCUGUUCGCGCUCGACGGGCGACACCACAUGCUGACGUGCGGCGCCACCGGCGGCAGGCUCUACCAGGUGGGGCCGUCUGGCCUGGAGCACCUGCUCAGUCUGGGCGGCCACGGCGCGCCCGUGCUCACCUGCGACAUGGCCGACAACCUGUGCGUCACCGCCUCUCUGGACGGCGGCGUCAAGACGUCCAGCCUGCUGCUGCCCAGCUGAGGCCGCCGGCGGGCCCGCUCCGGGCGCCCGGCCGCGUCCCCGGGCCCGGAGGGGCUCCGGCAGCCGGAGACAGCCGCUGCCGGAACAGCCGUCCACGCACGUCCGGGCGCACGGAGGGGGCAGCGAUAUCGGGGCGGUGCGGAAAUGACCCGGCGGGCCCGCAGCACCGGUAUCGGUAGUGGACGGAGCGGGAUACAGCCGGACGGAGCCGGGUGAGGCCGGACAGAACCGGACGGUAGUCGCCGCCGGAGUGACGAUCAGAGGUAGGGCUACAGCCGGCACCCGGUGGCUAUCAAACAAACCGAAAUAUCGCUACUUAAUCGGGGCAGUGGGGAGUCUGCUGCCGGCGGUGUUCCGUCCGGCUAGCUACAACAGGGUGGUGCAGUACUCGUGCCGCAGGGACAGCACUGCCACUGAUCUGCGUUGGGCCUCUGCACGCGACGCACAGGCUGACCGGGUCUAGCGGCAGUCAAGGGCCGAUGCGGCGAUAGCGGCAGUCAAGCUCAGUGCCUCGGCACUGAGCGGCAGCUGUGUCACGCGAUUUUUCUGCACUGCACCUAUUUACGUGUGAGUGAUGCGGGUUUUUCAAGGGUGCUUUGACGGGGCAUGUGUGGUACCAGCUGGCAAUAGUAAUCUGCGUAGUGUCUGGUAUGACGUAUGUUUGAGCUUGUGGCGGAAUUAGUUGUAUCUCAUUUAUGCUGAGGUUAUGGGGCCCGGGGCUUGAUGUGUAACAGUAUUCUCGAAGGCAAUUUAGUGACUUGCAUGAAAUUGUUAUUUAUUUAUAAUCAUACGCUAGUUAUCUCCAAUAUGUAUGAUUUCCUUUGGAAUUUAACCAUCUAUCUUGGUUAUCAAGAUAUCUAUCUUGGGUUAUCAAGAUAACAUCUUUAUUGGUUUGUUACGAUAAUUUUAUCGUUCACAACACGUCAUUAUUAAUCUUUUGCCGAUUUAGCUGUGCGACAUAGGUACUCCAGCAUUCCCGAUGUCAUUCCAUGGUGUCAUUCCGCAGCAGAGCAGCGACGCCACCAUUAUCGGCGGUGGAACGUUGCUGCCUGGCCUGACCCAUCUCCGUGGCACAUUUUCAGAGCUCCUAAGAUCUCCUCCACAGUGCACAGACUGCUGCCUAAUGUCGAGUGUUCCGUGGUAAAUGGAACGGCAUCAUUACUUUGCCAGCAUGCCAUUUCAUUUGACGUAGAAAUGUGCCUAUUCAUGUCGUGUUCUCCAUAUUUAUGAGUAUGCAGCUUUAAGAGUUGUUCGUUUGCAGUGAUAUGGUCCCCGUACCUGUUUGAACUCGAUGUACUUGACAAUAUAUGCCUUGUUUACGCGGUAGGUAUACCUUACCUA